ensembl:lncRNA
AUGAGCUAACGCCUACUUUAACACCGUUAAAUCCCCUGAAAACACCACACGAUUAAUAGUUUUACCGGAUCGUUAGCUAAAAACUGUCCGCGUCAGGAGACAGUGACGUUAAACGCAAAGUUGGUUUAUAAUCACGCAACACAACAAAAGGAGCAAAGCGAGUUCAGUUUCUUUGUGUGUUCAUUCUGUAACGUGAGAAAGUGAUAUUCCAGGUUCAUAACUUCACUAAUAACUGCGGGCGGAUGCCGUUAACUGCGCCGCGGCGGGUGUUUUCAGAUAGCCGACGACGAUAAGCUAACAGCAAAUAGUUUCCUUCUUGUUUUUACAGGGACGUGAAGAUGAAGCGUAAAUAUUAUGAGUGGCAAAAGGCGUUUCCUGUUAAAACAUUACAGGUUAAAAGACGGGAGCUACAGUAGAACCGCAUCGUUUCCUUGUUUGCGCACAUUUAACUAUAUUAAUGAAUCGAUUAAGUUACGGUUCACUUAGCAAAAACACCAGAGAAGCCACACAACUGUGUGAACCUGAACAAGUAGCUUCUCACUGCCACUUGUGUGAUUUGUCUGCGUCCUGCACUGAUGCAGCGUUCAUCACAGACUCCACUGCCCCCAUGGAGGAUGUAACCUUUAUACCGAGGCGUGCUCUGCAUUUAAUGGACACAUAAGUAUGCACGCGAGUUCAACCGGACAGUGCGAAAGAACCUCAAGCAGGAAUUUGAACGAAAGCCCUGAUCGACACAGCCUUCGGCUAAUCGACAUAUUUCCAUCUAAAAGAGGGAACGUUGGGCAGCUGUUGGCACAGCUUUCUCAACAAGAUUACAGCUUCGGACACCGGUGCUGAGAAGGCUUCCUGUACUCCUCUGGGACGAUGCCACAGACUUCUACCAACCAGCCUUUGUAAUUCUUUCUGAAAAAGAAAAAACAUUUCCUGAAAGAUCAUCUAGGACCAUCACAGCAUCAUUUCGAACUGUUAUUACCAUUAUUUGAUGAACCUAGACUCGGACGAUGACUCAUUACGCAAUAUUACGUUGGGAUCCUCCUCGUUGAGAAAGAUCUCAGUCUCAUUGAAGAUCAUCGUCGAAGUUCUGAUGAUUCAAGACCCGCCAAAAGCCACGUGCCUUCUGUUUGGACAUACGCACUGCAUGUGACCCCCCCGAGUCUACGAUGCUCUCAUCCCAGUUCAUCCAGCUAACCAGUGAGCUAAAACCCAGGUUACAAACCCCGAAGAACAAGCUCGCAAUGUAAGUACUGUAAGUCGAGUCUUCUCUAAGAAGUCACGUCUGUGUUGAAUCUUUCCCUGGAACAGCUGCAGGUCCGUAUAUAUGAGGUGGUCUCAAAAGAGGACACACACUGAAAAUACAUAAGCUGCUGCCAUUUAACGGUGUUUUCACUGAGCAUCUUCCGGUUGGAGGGCGAAUGUUUACAUUGCAGUUAUGGUUGUAGUUCUGUUAGGAGGACUGUUCCACCACCCGUGCAAUGUUUUAGAAGAAUAAAACACAUUGGAAUGUUAAAAUGUAAUAUCAAAUUUGUUUCUUUCU